rnacentral:rRNA from 1 species
UACGUAGGGACCGAGCGUUGUCCGGAAUCAUUGGGCGUAAAGAGCGUGUAGGCGGCUUGCUAAGUCCUGCGUGAAAUCUCGGGCUCAACCCGAGCGGUCGUGGAAACUGCAGCUAGAGUGCGGAGAGAGAGUAGAAUCCUGGUGUAGCGUGAAUGCGUAGAUAUCAGAGAUACCGGUGUGUAGACGCUCGUCUGACCGCACUGACGCCUGAG